UUACGGCCAUAUAACGUUGAAACACCGGUUCCCGUACAAUCAUCGAAGUUAAGCAACGGUAAGCCUGGUCAGUAUUUACAUGGGUGACCGCUUUGGAAAAGCAGGUGCUGUAAG